rnacentral:rRNA from 1 species
GGGUUGUGAGGUUAAGCGACUAAGCGUACACGGUGGAUGCCCUGGCAGUCAGAGGCGAUGAAGGACGUGCUAAUCUGCGAAAAGCGUCGGUAAGGUGAUAUGAACCGUUAUAACCGGCGAUGUCCGAAUGGGGAAACCCAGUGUGAUUCGUCACACUAUCGUUAACUGAAUACAUAGGUUAACGAGGCGAACCGGGGGAACUGAAACAUCUAAGUACCCCGAGGAAAAGAAAUCAACCGAGAUUCCCCCAGUAGCGGCGAGCGAACGGGGAGCAGCCCAGAGUCUGAAUCAGCUUGUGUGUUAGUGGAACGGUCUGGAAAGUCCGACGGUACAGGGUGAUAGUCCCGUACACCAAAAUGCACAGGUUGUGAACUCGAAGAGUAGGGCGGGACACGUGGUAUCCUGUCUGAAUAUGGGGGGACCAUCCUCCAAGGCUAAAUACUCCUGACUGACCGAUAGUGAACCAGUACCGUGAGGGAAAGGCGAAAAGAACCCCGGCGAGGGGAGUGAAAAAGAACCUGAAACCGUGUACGUACAAGCAGUGGGAGCACCUUCGGGUGUGACUGCGUACCUUUUGUAUAAUGGGUCAGCGACUUAUAUUCUGUAGCAAGGUUAACCGUAUAGGGGAGCCGCAGGGAAACCGAGUCUUAACUGGGCGUUAAGUUGCAGGGUAUAGACCCGAAACCCGGUGAUCUAGCCAUGGGCAGGUUGAAGGUUGGGUAACACUAACUGGAGGACCGAACCGACUAAUGUUGAAAAAUUAGCGGAUGACUUGUGGCUGGGGGUGAAAGGCCAAUCAAACCGGGAGAUAGCUGGUUCUCCCCGAAAGCUAUUUAGGUAGCGCCUCGUGAACUCAUCUUCGGGGGUAGAGCACUGUUUCGGCUAGGGGGUCAUCCCGACUUACCAACCCGAUGCAAACUACGAAUACCGAAGAAUGUUAUCACGGGAGACACACGGCGGGUGCUAACGUCCGUCGUGAAGAGGGAAACAACCCAGACCGCCAGCUAAGGUCCCAAAGUCAUGGUUAAGUGGGAAACGAUGUGGGAAGGCACAGACAGCCAGGAUGUUGGCUUAGAAGCAGCCAUCAUUUAAAGAAAGCGUAAUAGCUCACUGGUCGAGUCGGCCUGCGCGGAAGAUGUAACGGGGCUAAACCAUGCACCGAAGCUGCGGCAGCGACACUAUGUGUUGUUGGGUAGGGGAGCGUUCUGUAAGCCUGCGAAGGUGUGCUGUGAGGCAUGCUGGAGGUAUCAGAAGUGCGAAUGCUGACAUAAGUAACGAUAAAGCGGGUGAAAAGCCCGCUCGCCGGAAGACCAAGGGUUCCUGUCCAACGUUAAUCGGGGCAGGGUGAGUCGACCCCUAAGGCGAGGCCGAAAGGCGUAGUCGAUGGGAAACAGGUUAAUAUUCCUGUACUUGGUGUUACUGCGAAGGGGGGACGGAGAAGGCUAUGUUAGCCGGGCGACGGUUGUCCCGGUUUAAGCAUGUAGGCUGGUUAUCCAGGCAAAUCCGGAUAAUCAAGGCUGAGGUGUGAUGACGAGGCACUACGGUGCUGAAGUAACAAAUGCCCUGCUUCCAGGAAAAGCCUCUAAGCAUCAGGUAACAUCAAAUCGUACCCCAAACCGACACAGGUGGUCAGGUAGAGAAUACCAAGGCGCUUGAGAGAACUCGGGUGAAGGAACUAGGCAAAAUGGUGCCGUAACUUCGGGAGAAGGCACGCUGGUGUGUAGGUGAAGUCCCUGCGGAUGGAGCUGAGACCAGUCGAAGAUACCAGCUGGCUGCAACUGUUUAUUAAAAACACAGCACUGUGCAAACACGAAAGUGGACGUAUACGGUGUGACGCCUGCCCGGUGCCGGAAGGUUAAUUGAUGGGGUUAUCCGUAAGGAGAAGCUCUUGAUCGAAGCCCCGGUAAACGGCGGCCGUAACUAUAACGGUCCUAAGGUAGCGAAAUUCCUUGUCGGGUAAGUUCCGACCUGCACGAAUGGCGUAAUGAUGGCCAGGCUGUCUCCACCCGAGACUCAGUGAAAUUGAACUCGCUGUGAAGAUGCAGUGUACCCGCGGCAAGACGGAAAGACCCCGUGAACCUUUACUAUAGCUUGACACUGAACAUUGAGCCUUGAUGUGUAGGAUAGGUGGGAGGCUUUGAAGCGUGGACGCCAGUCUGCGUGGAGCCAACCUUGAAAUACCACCCUUUAAUGUUUGAUGUUCUAACGUUGGCCCCUUACCGGGGUUGCGGACAGUGUCUGGUGGGUAGUUUGACUGGGGCGGUCUCCUCCCAAAGCGUAACGGAGGAGCACGAAGGUUAGCUAAUCCUGGUCGGACAUCAGGAGGUUAGUGCAAUGGCAUAAGCUAGCUUGACUGCGAGCGUGACGGCGCGAGCAGGUGCGAAAGCAGGUCAUAGUGAUCCGGUGGUUCUGAAUGGAAGGGCCAUCGCUCAACGGAUAAAAGGUACUCCGGGGAUAACAGGCUGAUACCGCCCAAGAGUUCAUAUCGACGGCGGUGUUUGGCACCUCGAUGUCGGCUCAUCACAUCCUGGGGCUGAAGUAGGUCCCAAGGGUAUGGCUGUUCGCCAUUUAAAGUGGUACGCGAGCUGGGUUUAGAACGUCGUGAGACAGUUCGGUCCCUAUCUGCCGUGGGCGCUGGAGAAUUGAGGGGGGCUGCUCCUAGUACGAGAGGACCGGAGUGGACGCAUCACUGGUGUUCGGGUUGUCAUGCCAAUGGCACUGCCCGGUAGCUAAAUGCGGAAGAGAUAAGUGCUGAAAGCAUCUAAGCACGAAACUUGCCCCGAGAUGAGUUCUCCCUGAGACUUUAAGUCUCCUGAAGGAACGUU